AGGCCGGUAGCUCAGUUGGUAGAGCAUCUGUCUAUUAUAGGAAGGUCCUAGGUUCGACUCCUAGUCAGUCCA